GGCCAGAUGGCCGAGCGGUCUAAGGCGCGGCACUCAAGCGCAAGCUUACCUGCAUGACAGGUUUGCCGUGAGGAAACUCUCGUGGGUUCGAAUCCCACUCUGGUCA
rfam:Piloderma croceum F 1598 unplaced genomic scaffold scaffold_00035, whole genome shotgun sequence.